GUCCACGCCGUAAACGAUGGGUGCUAGGUGUGGGGGGUGUCGACUCCCUCCGUGCCGCAGCUAACGCAUUAAGCACCCCGCCUGGGGAGUACGGCCGCAAGGCUAAAACUCAAAGGAAUUGACGGGGCCCCGCACAAGCAGCGGAGCAUGUGGUUUAAUUCGAUGCAACGCGAAGAACCUUACCAGGGCUUGACAUGCACUGGAAAACCGUAGAAAUACGGUCCUCCUUCGGGACCAGUACACAGGUGGUGCAUGGCUGUCGU
rnacentral:rRNA from 1 species